rnacentral:rRNA from 1 species
AUUGAACGCUGGCGGCAGGCCUAACACAUGCAAGUCGAGCGGGGUUUUCGGACCUAGCGGCGGACGGGUGAGUAAUGCGUAGGAAGCUACCCGAUAGAGGGGGAUACCAGUUGGAAACGACUGUUAAUACCGCAUAAUGUCUACGGACCAAAGUGUGGGACCUUCGGGCCACAUGCUAUCGGAUGCGCCUACGUGGGAUUAGCUAGUUGGUGAGGUAAUGGCUCACCAAGGCGACGAUCCCUAGCUGGUUUGAGAGGAUGAUCAGCCACACUGGAACUGAGACACGGUCCAGACUCCUACGGGAGGCAGCAGUGGGGAAUAUUGGACAAUGGGCGCAAGCCUGAUCCAGCCAUGCCGCGUGUGUGGAGAAGGCCUUCGGGUUGUAAAGCACUUUCAGUAGGGAGGAAGCGUUGUGUGUUAAUAGUACACAGCGUUGACGUUAUCUACAGAAGAAGCACCGGCUAACUCUGUGACAGCCGCCGCCGUAACAC